GCCAGUGUGGUGUAGUGUUUUGAGUGUUGGACUAUCACUCUGGAGACCAGGGUUCAAAGCCCAGCUUGGCCA